rnacentral:rRNA from 1 species
AGGACGAACGCUGGCGGCGUGCUUAGCACAUGCAAGUCGAGCGGUAAGGCCCUUUCGGGGGUACACGAGCGGCGAACGGGUGAGUAACACGUGGGUGACCUGCCCUUAGCUCUGGGAUAAGCCUGGGAAACUGGGUCUAAUACCGGAUAUGACCUCAUGACGCAUGUUGUGGGGUGGAAAGCCUUGUGCGGCUAGGGGAUGGGCCCGCGGCCUAUCAGCUUGGUUGGUGGGGUGAGUGGCCUACCAAGGCGAACGACGGGUA